rnacentral:rRNA from 1 species
AUGAGGAACCAUACCAUGUACUACGCGGUAGUGGUACUGGCGAUCGUACUGUGCGCAUCAUCGCUGGCGAACGCGGCGGUGACCCUGCAGCAGCAGGACGUGCUACGGGCCUUCAUCGAAUCGAGGGGCAGGGCCCAGAAGCGCGCGAGCGGGCCGGCGGAGCCGGACACGUGGGCCGACCCGGCCAGCAGCUUCCGCCACCUGCCCACCAAGUGCGAGACCCCGCCGGCGGGCACCAGAGAGGCCGACAGGAUCGCGGCGCUGCCCGGCCAGCCCCCGCGCGUCAACUUUGACCAGUACUCCGGCUACGUCACGGUCAGCGAGGAGUACGGCCGCGCGCUCUUCUACUACUUCGUGGAGGCCCCCUACGAGGCCGCCUCCAAGCCGCUCGUGCUCUGGCUCAACGGCGGGCCCGGGUGCUCGUCGCUGGGCGCCGGCGCCAUGGCGGAGCUCGGCCCGUUCCGUGUGAACCCCGACGGCAAGACCCUGAGCAGAAACAGGCAUGCCUGGAACAACGUGGCAAAUGUGAUCUUUCUGGAGUCGCCGGCGGGCGUCGGGUUCUCCUACUCGAACGCUUCGGUGGAGAGCGGCGACUCGGGGACCGCGGUGGACGCCUACCUCUUCCUGCUCUACUGGCUGGAGAGGUUCCCCGAGUACAAGGGCCGCGACUUCUACAUCGCCGGCGAGAGCUACAGCGGGCACUACGUCCCCCAGCUCGCCACCGUCAUCGUCGCCCUCGCCGAAUUCGGUCUCACAGACGUGAACCUCAAGGGCAUCUUCGUUGGCAACCCAUACCUCGAUGACUACAUGAACACAAAGGGAUCGUUAGAGUUCCUGUGGAACCACGGGGUGAUCUCCGACGAGGUGUGGGGCAAUAUCAGCGAGCACUGCAGCUUCGGGCGGGUCGAGGGCACAGCGUGCGGCCAAGCCAAGAAGUCGUUCAAAACCGGCGACAUCGACCGAUACAACAUCUACGCCCCGGUCUGCAUCGAGUCGCCGGACGGGAGCCUCCACUCCAGCAGCUACUUACCAGGCUACGAUCCGUGCAUCGGGGCCUACAUCGACGCCUACUUCAACAGUCCUAAGGUGCAGAAGGCUAUGCAUGUUCGAACCGACACCAAGUGGUCAGAGUGCGCUAACUUGCACUGGACCGAUGCCCCGGUUUCCAUGGUGCCAACCAUUGCCUGGCUUGUCGACAACGGGUUAAGAGUCUGGCUGUACAGUGGUGAUAUGGACGAUGUGUGCCCGAUUACCGCCACGAGGUACUCUGUCAAGGAUCUCAAUCUGGCAAUAACAAAACCGUGGCGUCCAUGGUACACCCCUGACAGCGAGGUCGGAGGCUACGCUCAGCAAUACGAGGGAGGGUUCACGUUCGCGUCGGUACGAGGAGCUGGCCAUAUGGUCCCUAGCUUCCAGCCCAAGAGAUCACUUGUUCUUUUCUACUCCUUCAUGAAAGGUGUUCUGCCACCGGCGGUCUCAGUGUGGCGCCCAUGA